UUUUUUUUUUUUUUUUUUUUUUCUGAGACAGGGUUUCUCUGUGUAGCCCUGGCUGUCCUUGAACUCACUUUGUAGACCAGGCUGGCCUCGAACUCAGAAAUCCACCUGCCUCUGCCUCCCAAGUGCUGGGAUUAAAGGUGUGUGCCACCACUGCCCAGCUAAGUACUCCUUUUAGCUACCCAAAACUUCAAUCUGGACCUUUCACAUGUGUGUUUUAAAUUGUUCUGUUAUGGAUUCUGUUUACCAAUAUCAAGUUGAAUCAGUCAUUUUCCUCAAGAAAAACUAAGUACAUGUGACAAUUUAAUGUCUAGCAAAAACCUGUUACAUGACUUACUGAUAUUUGUCAUUUUUACCAUCCUCUUUCAGACAUAAGAGUUACCUUUGAGGCAAAUGUGAACUAAUUUAUAGAGUAAGCUUUGCCCAGGCAGAGUUUGCUGACUUCCGCAGGCUGUGUGGCAGGCUUGACAUGUGGUAACAUUAGACUGAGGAAGGGAAUGUAUUCUCGACUGAACCAUAUACUAGAGGUUAAUGAAUAAGUCAUGGGAACUUAAGGAAAAGCUGAAGGUUGUGAUUCAAUUCUUUGCGUUAAUAGGAAGGGCUACAGAUGUGUGAUACUGGGAGAAACUUGAGUUGAAACACUCAUCAAGACAGUAGCAGGUACAACAUGUGUAAGGAAAUUUAUAAAGGCCAUGCAUUGUAGUCACGCAACUGAGAAAUGGAGUACACCUAUGAUCCCAGCAUGGAGGACAUGGAGGGAGGAAGAUCAAGUGUAAGAGAGGGAGCAUAAUAUGAAGAGUAUAUAUUAAUAGUAAGAUUAGUGAGUGUAUGUGUCUGAGAUUGUGUGAAAACAAACAUCAUUUGGAUUGAACAACACAGGGAAUCAUGAGGUCAGAUAGAUAAUGGUUAUAUCAUCUUGAAGCUCAUUGAAGUCACUCAGAAGUUGGCAUCACUUAUAGUGGAAAGGAAGACUCUUGGUCAGGUGAUUAAUAUUUCCUUAUAUGUUGGGAUGUUAGACAAGAGAAAGAUAAACUACACAGGUAGUGCAUUGUGGAAGCUUUACUAGAACAUAACAGACUUGGAAGUGUGGGUUGUGUUGAUACCACAAGGUAGAAGUUGCUGCUGAACUGAAUAGUGCAGACCUAGGAGUAUUAGUUGCAACCUGGUAUCUAGGUUUUGGUGACAGAUCCUAAGAAAAUAUGCAUCCGGGGAAAACUUCACCAAACAGUUAGGUUCUCAAGCUAAGCAGAGAACCCUCUUUGUUCUGCUGAAUGAAGAGAGCGAGACCUGCUUACAGUGUGCUACAGGUUUCAGAAGGCACCUAGGAUGAGUUUUCAAAUAUGUUCAGGAUGGUAGGCGAUUGAGAGGUGUGGAUAUCUACAGUCUGAAUAGUGACUACACUGAUUCAAGUGAGGUCUGAAAGCAAACCAACUUCACUUUCCAAAAGAGCAACUAUUAUGCAGUUUAGAUUGUAAUAAAACUGUCAUCUUUAAAAUUUCAAUAUCUUUUAUGAUAUGCUUCUUGAUUUCUUUCAUGAUUCCUAUGAAAAUCUGGCUAAUUCUUUGGAUUGUUUCCUUAGUGAAGACACUCUCUUCCUAGGACUAUAAUUUCCCAUUUCAGUUUGCAAAUUUGUCCCCAGCCCCUACAUAGUGCCUGGUACAUCAUAAGUCCUGAAUAAGCAUUUAGUGUAACCAUAAUGACUCACUUAAAUCCUGAUAUAGUAGCUUACGUGAGGGAGCAAAGAUGCUCACAUGGUGAAACAGCUUCUUAGACAUUCUGUAUGCAUCAUAUACCCUAACAGAACCCUUUUGGUAGCACAUCACUAAAGUUGUAACAACAGUAAUUAUUCUAGCUUUGUUUAUCAAAUACAUAUAGUACUUACAUGUGGUAUUAACUAUCCUAAUGAUUUUAUUAAUUAUUAAUGAUGAAUUAUUUUACCUUCUUAGAAAUUCCCGAAUAAAUCUGCCUUGAGUUUCAUAGUCAAAGUGUAGUAUAUGUAACUGCAGAACUUUGUGAAGAAGGUUUAUUUCAGAGAAAUAGGAUUCAUUGUAGUUAUGAACUGUCAUAGGAUUGCAAUUAUACAAAAAAAAAGAUUUUUUAAAAUUUUUCCUACUAUAAAACUAUCAAAGUAGAGAAAUUAGAUUUUUUCUUUUGCUGAAAGAUAAUGAUUUUAUUUAAAUAUUUAAGUAGUAAAUAUUUUUAUUUAAAUAAAUUAAAAAAAUUUUAAAUAAUAAAUAGUGUUUGAUUACAAGCUUAGUUAUUUAGUAAAUGCUGUUUGUAAGCCCUGAUUCAUGUGCCUUUACAUUGUGCAUGAACUAUUAAAAGUUACUUUUACUUAAAAGUAAAACAAUGCUAUUGGACUUUUCCCCAUAAUAUUAAAUACUUUAAACCAAUAUGUUAGAUAGCUAUAGUUCAUUUUAGUUCAAUCCAUUAAAUAUUAAAGAAAAUAAUAUCAUUAUACAAAUUAGAGAGAAAAUUUUUAUCUCGGGUACAUUUAUUGUCUAUAUAACUUACAUAUUUUUAUUAUGGCUUAAGAACAAAGGUGUGGCGCUGUCUCUGACUCUUUUGCCUUCUUUGGAGAUCAUUUUUCUUCUACUGGGUUGUCUUGCUCAGCCUUAGUAUCAGGGAUAUGCCUAGUUUUAUUAUAUCUUGUUAUGCUAUGUUUGGUUGAUAUCCCUAGGAGAUCUACUCUUUUCUGAAGGAAAAUGGAGGAGGAGUAGAUCUGGGGAAGAAGGCGGAUGGACAGAGGCUGUGGAGAGUAGAUAGAGCAAACUUCAGUUGGGAUAUAAUAUAUGAGAGGUCAAUGAAAAAUGAGCAUGAGGAAGAGAAGAAGAAGAAUUAAGAAGAAGGAGGAGAAGGAAAAGGAGGAGGAGGAAGAGGAGGAGGAGGAGAACAAGACGAAC
rnacentral:lncRNA from 1 species